UGUGGGAGCGAGCUUGCUCGCGAUGGCGGCCUGUCUGUCGGCAUUAACGUUGACUGACACACUGCUAUCGCGAGCAAGCUCGCUCCCACA
rnacentral:misc_RNA from 1 species